rnacentral:rRNA from 1 species
GACGAACGCUGGCGGCGUGCUUAACACAUGCAAGUCGAGCGGUAAGGCCCUUUCGGGGGUACGACGAGCGGCGAACGGGUAGAGUAACACGUGGGUGACCUGCCCUCAGCUCUGGGAUAAGCCUGGGAAACCGGGUCUAAUACUGGAUAUGACUCCAUGACGCAUGUUGUGGGGUGGAAAGCCUUGUGCGGCUGAGGAUGGGCCCGCGGCCUAUCAGCUUGUUGGUGGGGUGANGGCCUACCAAGGCGACGACGGGUAGCCGGCCUGAGAGGGCGACCGGCCACACUGGGACUGAGACACGGCCCAGACUCCUACGGGAGGCAGCAGUGGGGAAUCUUGCGCAAUGGGCGAAAGCCUGACGCAGCGACGCCGCGUGAGGGA